rnacentral:rRNA from 1 species
GAAAGUUAGAGGAUCGAAGACGAUCAGAUACCGUCCUAGUUCUAACCAUAAACGAUGCCGACUAGGGAUCAGAGAGUGUUAUUGGAUGACCUCUUUGGCACCUUAUGGGAAACCAAAGUUUUUGGGU